rnacentral:sRNA from 1 species
GAUAAGAUAGCGGUAAACACCGCAGGCAUCAGAAGGAUAACGUUGCGUCAGCAACGGCCCGUAGGGCGAGGCGAAGCCGAGUCAUCCUGCACGACCCACCA